GGGCGAGUAGCUCAGUGGAAAGAGCGCCUCCCUUACAAGGAGGAGGUCGCAGGUUCGAUCCCUGCCUCGCCCACCA
rnacentral:tRNA from 2 species